rnacentral:rRNA from 1 species
UACAGAGGUGGCAAGCGUUGUUCGGAAUUACUGGGCGUAAAGCGCACGUAGGCGGACUAUUAAGUCAGGGGUGAAAUCCCGGGGCUCAACCCCCGGAACUGCCUUUGAUACUGGUAGUCUCGAGUCCGGAAGAGGUGAGUGGAAUUCCGAGUGUAGAGGUGAAAUUCGUAGAUAUUCGCAAGAACACCAGUGGCGAAGGCGGCUCACUGGCCCGGAACUGACGCUGAGGUGCGAAAGCGUGGGGAGCAAACAGG